rnacentral:rRNA from 1 species
UGGGGAAUAUUGCACAAUGGGCGAAAGCCUGAUGCAGCAACGCCGCGUGAGGGACGACGGCCUUCGGGUUGUAAACCUCUUUUAGCAAGGAAGAAGCGAAAGUGACGGUACUUGCAGAAAAAGCGCCGGCUAACUACGUGCCAGCAGCCGCGGUAAUACGUAGGGCGCAAGCGUUAUCCGGAAUUAUUGGGCGUAAAGAGCUCGUAGGCGGUUUGUCGCGUCUGCUGUGAAAACCCGAGGCUCAACCUCGGGCCUGCAGUGGGUACGGGCAGACUAGAGUGCGGUAGGGGAGAUUGGAACUCCUGGUGUAGCGGUGGAAUGCGCAGAUAUCAGGAAGAACACCGAUGGCGAAGGCAGAUCUCUGGGCCGUAACUGACGCUGAGGAGCGAAACGGGUGGGAGCAAACAGGCUUAGAUGACCCU